GUCUUCCAUUUCGAUUUGCCACCGCGCCUAGCACAGGCGCUGGGCACUCUGGCUAGACCGGCAGUAGAAACUUGGAAUAGUUCAAGUCCUAGAGAGGGGGGAAAAGGCAAGAUGAAGGGGCGGGACCGUCGAUCAGCCCCGCCCCUCAAAGAAGCCACGCCUUCCAGAACCCUGACGUCACAAGAUAGUCCCGCCCCUCAUUGUCAGUCCCGGGAGCCGGAGGAGGCGCCGGCCGCCGGGAGCUGAGCGCCGGAUCCCGUGGCGGGCGGGAGUGCGGGCCGGAGCCGCUGAGACAGAUAGCACAUACACGCAGAACCACCACCAUUAGCACCAACAGUAACAGCACAAAGCACCAGAAGAAAUGCCUUGGGGAAGUGGCCUGGCAAGAUCUGUCAGGGCGGAAAGGCUCUGAAGAGGCAGCGCUGAAGAGUUGGAGGAUGUUUACAGUUAUCCUUUGUUUCUGGGGACAGAGGACCAGUACACCGAGGAUGGAAGAAGUCAAGAGGCAGCUGCCAUUGCAGUAUAGUGCGUGACCGUGUCCACGACAGCAAGCAUCGGGAGCAGGCAGAAGCAUUGACAGGAAACUUCAGUCCCCUAAAUGGUAAGUGUGCCACAGUGUGCUCAGCCACACUGGGGCGAGGAUGGUAAGUGUGACAC
rnacentral:lncRNA from 1 species